UACGUAGGCGGCAAGCGUUGUUCGGAAUUACUGGGCGUAAAGCGUGCGCAGGCGGUUCGCCAAGUCAGGUGUGAAAUCCCCGGGCUUAACCUUGGAAUUGCGCUUGAAACUAGCGGGCUUGAGUGUGGCAGAGGGGGGUGGAAUUCCACGUGUAGCAGUGAAAUGCGUAGAGAUGUGGAGGAACACCGAUGGCGAAGGCAGCCCCCUGGGUCAACACUGACGCUCAUGCACGAAAGCGUGGGGAGCAAACAGG
rnacentral:rRNA from 1 species